GUAAUGCGAUAAGUAAUGUGAAUUGCAGAAUUCAGUGAAUCAUCGAAUCUUUGAACGCACAUUGCGCCCGCCAGUAUUCUGGCGGGCAUGCCUGUCCGAGCGUCAUUUCAACCAUCAAGCCCCCGGGCUUGUGUUGGGGACCUGCGGCUGCCCGCAGGCCCUGAAAACCAGUGGCGGGCUCGCUGUCACACCGAGCGUAGUAGCAAUCACCUCGCUCAGGGCGUGCUGCGGGUUCCGGUCGUUAAACAGCCUUACAAAACCCAAGGUUGACCUCGGAUCAGGUAGGAAGACCCGCUGAACUUAAGC
rnacentral:misc_RNA from 1 species